rnacentral:rRNA from 1 species
AUUGAACGCUGGCGGCAGGCCUAACACAUGCAAGUCGAGCGAGCGGCGGACGGGUGAGUAAUGUCUGGGAAACUGCCUGAUGGAGGGGGAUAACUACUGGAAACGGUAGCUAAUACCGCAUACCAUCAGAUGUUCCCAGAUGGGAUUAGCUAGUAGGUGGGGUAACGGCUCACCUAGGCGACGAUCGCUAGCUGGUCUGAGUUGAUGACCAGCCACAAUGGAACUGAGACACGGUCCAGACUCCUACGGGAGGCAGCAGUGGGGAAAAUUGUACAAUGGGCGCAAGCCUGAUGAAGCCAUGCCGCGUGUGUGAAGAAGGCCUUCGGGUUGUAAAGCACUUUCAGCGGGGAGGCGUUAACCGGAGAAGAAGCACCGGCUAACUCCGUGCCAGCCGCCGCGGUAAUAC